UACGGGGGGGGCAAGCGUUGUUCGGAAUUACUGGGCGUAAAGGGCUCGUAGGCGGCCAACUAAGUCAUACGUGAAAUCCCUCGGCUUAACCGGGGAACUGCGUCUGAUACUGGAUGGCUUGAGUUCGGGAGAGGGAUGCGGAAUUCCCGGUGUAGAGGUGAAAUUCGUAGAUAUCGGGAGGAACACCGGUGGCGAAGGCGGCGGCCUGGGUUGACACUGACGCUGAGGCGCGAAAGCGUGGGGAGCAAACAGG
rnacentral:rRNA from 1 species